rnacentral:rRNA from 1 species
CGGCGUGCUUAAUACAUGCAAGUCAACUUGACUUUAGAUAGCAAUAUCGAAAGUAGGUGGCGCACGGGUGCGUAACGCGUAGGUAAUCUGCCCUGAGGUCUGACAUAACCCGUCGAAAGGCGGGCUAACAUCAGAUGAUAUAUAAUCACGACAUCGUGGAAAUAUCAAAUCUUCGGAGCCUUGGGAUGAGCCUGCGUCUGAUUAGGUAGUUGGCGGAGUAAUAGCCCACCAAGCCUACGAUCAGUAGCUGGUCUGAGAGGAUGAUCAGCCACACUGGAACUGAGACACGGUCCAGACUCCUACGGGAGGCAGCAGUAAGGAAUAUUGCUCAAUGGGGGAAACCCUGAAGCAGCAACGCCGCGUGAAGGAUGAAAUACUUUGUAUGUAAACUUCUGUAAGAUGGGAAAAAUAUUCUCCUCGGGAGAAUUGAUUGUACCAUCAGAGUAAGCCCCGGCUAACUACGUG